UGGCAUUUUUGAGCUUGGCGUAGAUAGAGUCCAUGCUAUUUUUGGAGUUAGUGUGGAUGAUGAUCUUAUUACGGGCGCGGAAGAUGUUA